rnacentral:rRNA from 1 species
UACAGAGGUCUCAAGCGUUGUUCGGAUUCAUUGGGCGUAAAGGGUGCGUAGGCGGCGCGGUAAGUCGGGUGUGAAAUCUCGGGGCUUAACUCCGAAACUGCAUUCGAUACUGCCGUGCUUGAGGACUGGAGAGGAGACUGGAAUUUACGGUGUAGCGGUGAAAUGCGUAGAUAUCGUAAGGAAGACCAGUGGCGAAGGCGGCAUCCUGGACCGGCAUUGACGCUGAGGCGCGAAAGCCAGGGGAGCAAACGGG